AUAAAAGCUUCACACAUCUUGUAUUUCAGGGGGUCACAGGGAGUGUCCACAGUAGAAGCAUAUAUUCACUGAAUUAAGGAAUAAUAGAGAACAUGGAAGAGAAGGAUCUGAAAAGGCGAAAUGAGUCAAGUUUCCAAACAUCCAUUGCCUUCUGGUUGCUGUUUCCUCUCUUAACCACAGAUGACACAUUACAGGACUGCCUCCCUUCAUCCAGGAGCAAAGCACUUCAUGGUUCCCACCAUGGAGAUGGUGCACAGCCCAGGCAGUGUCUCCCCUCUUCUCUGGAAAAGGCAUUGGUUGAAGGAGGACCUGGUCCUUUGC